rnacentral:rRNA from 1 species
AUCAACUUUCGAUGGUAGGAUAGAGGCCUACCAUGGUGGUAACGGGUAACGGGGUGUUAGGGCACGACACCGGAGAGGGAGCCUGAGAAACGGCUACCACAUCCAAGGAUGGCAGCAGGCGCGCAAAUUACCCAAUCCCGACACGGGGAGGUAGUGACAAUAAAUAACAAUACGGGGUUCUUUUGGAUCUCGUAAUUGGAAUGAGUACAAUUUAAAUCUCUUAACGAGGAACAAUUGGAGGGCAAGUCUGGUGCCAGCAGCCGCGGUAAUUCCAGCUCCAAUAGCGUAUAUUAAAGUUGUUGCAGUUAAAAAGCUCGUAGUUGAAUUUCGGGAUCAGUGGGUCGGUCGUGCCACUGGUAUGCACUGGCCCUACUGGUUCCUCCUUCUUGAAGAACUGUAAUGCCAUUAAUUUGGUGUUGCAGGGAAACAAGACUGUUACUUUGAAAAAAUUAGAGUGUUUAAAGCAGGCAAUCGCUUGAAUACAUUAGCAUGGAAUAAUGAAAUAGGACGAUCGAUCCUAUUUUGUUGGUUUCUAGGAUUGACGUAAUGAUUAAUAGGGAUAGUUGGGGGCAUUAGUAUUCAAUUGUCAGAGGUGAAAUUCUUGGAUUUAUUGAAGACUAACUUCUGCGAAAGCAUUUGCCAAGGAUGUUUUCAUUAAUCAAGAACGAAAGUUAGGGGAUCGAAGACGAUCAGAUACCGUCGUAGUCUUAACCAUAAACUAUGCCGACUAGGGAUCGGACGAUGUUAAUUUUUUAAUGACUCGUUCGGCGCCUUACGGGAAACCAAAGUGUUUGGGUUC